AGGAGACCAGAGAGGCAGGUGGCGGUUGCCGGUCCGGGAAUCUGGGCCAGUCCGCCUUCCUCCAAGGCAUCAGAGGGGAGGGAUUUCAAGGGUCCUCAAAGGUUCCCCUUCUUAAGCAAUGCAUAGCACCCAUCCUAGGAGCGUCCGUCCGUUCACUUGUAUGUCUGUCCGAAUGGAAGUGCCUCCUUGGGCCAGAACUCACAAGUGGCCAGGCCAGCAUUGGAAGCCAGCUCUGCCUGCCCGCACAGGCCUGGACGCCCAGCCACAACCUGGUGUCCCCUCUGCCCAGCUCUCGCCUUGGCUCUCAAUCAUUAAUGAAGAUGUGAAGUGAGACACCAAUCCUCACAGCCCCCACCACGUGCUCCCUCCCAUGCCUGGCGCUGCUGGAGUCAUUAUCCUUCCUGGUGUGACAGGGUCAGAACCAAACCAAUUUGCAUCAGUCUUUGGUGAUGUUGUGAAGCGUCGCCUGCCCUGCAAUCCUGCUGCUGUAACAACUGCUUCAGCUGUCUGUUCUGGAGUGCUCUUCGCUCCUUUGGAAGACUGAUCAGAUCUGGCCACCCCAGUUCUGGCUGAAAGCCCUAGAGCGACCGCAAUGGUAGGGCAGGAUUCAGGGCUACACAUGGCUGACAUUGUUCCUUCUUCGUUUUGCUCUUCUGAGCUGGACAGAAAGCAGUCCCUCUUUGGAAAACAGGAUGGACAAGUGCAUACAUUAGUGGAGGACGCAGCAGAUGUGGCAGGCAUAGAAUUUUACUCAUUGCUCCAUCUAUUUCUAUCAAGGAAAAUGGGGAGUGCUCCCAAUUUCCGCCCAUUUUCUAGCCCAGGCCUAGUCAGAUGUGUGGGCUUGUAUAUUCUGGGAACCUGGGGCUGAUGUGGUCAAGUCACUUCUUGGGGACAAGGUCAAUUCUUCUCCAUUUUCUCAUGUCAUUUGGUCCUGAGGGUUUUAUAUCUUCUUUAGCAAUUCCAUGACUAUGCUUCUCAUCCUGCAGGGAAACUGACUUUAUAUACACACUUGUCUCCCAAUAAAAGUGAGAACCACCUCCUACAUAUCCCUUGUGUCUUC
rnacentral:lncRNA from 10 species